AGAUGUGAGGACAAUCUGGCUGUGUUAUCUGUCACCUCACUGAUCUCCUGGGUGAAUCCAGCUGAUCUGACUGGCUAGACAGGUGUCCCCUUCCUCCCUCAUGCUUCAUGUGUUCUUUGGAUAGAGAAGGACUGGUCUUUAGUCCAGAGUAUAAAAGUAGCUCCUAGCAGGAACAAGCAAACUCUCUAAACAUAUAUUUUAAUUCUGUUGUUUUAUUUUUUAAUAAAUAUCUAAUACCAAGGCAGUAAUGUAAUUAGCUUCUUUGGUAAU
ensembl:misc_RNA Gm23228 predicted gene, 23228